GCCCACCACAUUUUCGAGACCCCUUUGUUUCUCUCUCAUCCUAUUCUUUCCAGAUCUGAAACCUCAAAACUUCUCCCCCUUGAAAAUCGAUCUUGUGCUUUCAGUCAUCAUCUCCUAUAACCAGCAACCCAUCCAAAUCCUUCGAUUUUCUCUGAAACAUUAAGCUCUACGAAAAUGGCUUGGUUCCGUCACGAACAAGGAGAAAUCUAAGUAAAUCUCGAUUUCCGGUGGGCUGUAUUUUGCGUUGUCGAUCCGAUAAUAUGGCUCUAAUAUUUCUAGGGUUUAUCUUUCUAAUAUUAUUCCCUCAAUCUCACGAUCCACAGUCACGCACACAAUCAAAAGAUCUACAACUAUGGCGACACCAAGAAACUCAAGCAGAUCUGUUGAGGAAUGUCAUGGAUCCACAACGGCAUUAUAAAAAGGGUGAUUCAAAAUCGAAGACAUUGCCCAAAUAUUUCCAAGUGGGUACCGUAGUGAAGUCAGCAUCAGAUUAUUUUUCUAGUAGGCUCAAUAAAAAGGAGAGGAAGAGCAGAAUUGCCGAUGAGGUGCUUGCUGAUGGCUCCCUUGCUCAAUACCGUUGUUGUCUUUCAGGCUGGGCUCUCUAAGAAUUGUUUCCGGUUUUCUUUAUGUUCUGCAUUAUUUGGAAAUUAAGUGGUUUCUUACUUGGAGAGUUAGAGUAUGAAUGAUCUUAAACACUGCCUUUUCCAGUUUUCAGUACUGAACCUCUUGCUUGUGAUCCAUCAACGCUUCCAAAAUAUCCACCAACCAAGGAGAUGGAUGCCAAACGACGUGGUGACGAAGCACGAAGGACGGAUAUUGUUUCAGCGAUGCAUGGUGACAAAUCCGCUAACUUAAGUGUGGUUGGAAAAUGCCUAGAGAAGGUUUUAGAGGAGUCUCGUUUUGCGAAUAAGUUUGUGCUACCAUAUAAGGAAGUCCAUGAAGACUCCAGUAACACUUUUUUUGGGAUGGGUCCUUACAUGGAUUUCCCCUAUAGAAUAUUAUAACCGUAAGGUCUAGAUGUUGGUGCUCCGGUAUAUCUUUCCGGCUUCGAUACCAUAUUUUUGUUCUUUUGAUAAUUUCUGUAACUUUUAACAUUCUGGAAUUUUGUUUAAAUUGAAUGUCACUAUAUUUGCA